AUUGAACGCUGGCGGCAUGCCUUACACAUGCAAGUCGAACGGUAACAGGUUAAGCUGACGAGUGGCGAACGGGUGAGUAAUGUAUCGGAACGUGCCCAGUCGUGGGGGAUAACUGCUCGAAAGAGCAGCUAAUACCGCAUACGACCUGCGGGUGAAAGCGGGGGAUCGCAAGACCUCGCGCGAUUGGAGCGGCCGAUAUCAGAUUAGGUAGUUGGUGAGGUAAAGGCUCACCAAGCCGACGAUCUGUAGCUGGUCUGAGAGGAGGACCAGCCACACUGGGACUGAGACACGGCCCAGACUCCUACGGGAGGCAGCAGUGGGGAAUUUUGGACAAUGGGCGCAAGCCUGAUCCAGCCAUGCCGCGUGCGGGAAGAAGGCCUUCGGGUUGUAAACCGCUUUUGUCAGGGAAGAAAAGGUUCUGGCUAAUACCUGGGACUCAUGACGGUACCUGAAGAAUAAGCACCGGCUAACUACGUG
rnacentral:rRNA from 1 species